rnacentral:rRNA from 1 species
AUUGAACGCUGGCGGCAGGCUUAACACAUGCAAGUCGAGCGGGGUGAUGGUGCUUGCACUAUCACUUAGCGGCGGACGGGUGAGUAAUGCUUAGGAAUCUGCCUAUUAGUGGGGGACAACAUCUCGAAAGGGAUGCUAAUACCGCAUACGUCCUACGGGAGAAAGCAGGGGAUCACUUGUGACCUUGCGCUAAUAGAUGAGCCUAAGUCGGAUUAGCUAGUUGGUGGGGGAAAGGCCUACCAAGGCGACGAUCUGUAGCGGGUCUGGGAGGAUGAUCCGCCACCAUGGGACUGAGCCACGGGCCAGACUCCUACGGGAGGCAGCAGUGGGGAAUAUUGCGCAAAGGGCGAAAGCCUGACGCAGCAACGCCGCGUGAGUGAUGAAGGCCGUCGGGUCGUAAAGCUCUGUCGGCAGGGGCGAAACUUCGGUGGGAACAAUACCCCAUCGAUUUGACGGUACCUGCAAAGGAAGCACCGGCUAACUCCGUGCCAGCAGCCGCGGUAA